ensembl:lncRNA
GGGCCAAUAAAACAUAAUAAAUACAUAAACCAAUUAUAUUUUAAUCAAUGUUGAUUUAUCACCGUAUUGCAUUAGAAUCUUACAUUUAAGACCAAAAAGUAUAUGAAAUACUGUGGUACCCCUGCAUGUCUGUGGGUGAGAUGUUUUUGGAUCUGAUAUACAGCUUUGGAAAACAUUAUGAAAACACUUCAGUUUAUGAAGCAGUUUCUCUGAUUUUGCUAUUUAUAGGUAUAUGUUUGAGUAAAAUGAAAAUUGUUGUUUUAUUGUAUGAACUACGGACAACAAUUCUCCCAAAUUCCAAAUAGAAACCUUGUAAUUUAGAGCAUUUAUUUGUAGAAAAUGAGAAAUGGCUGAAAUAACAAAAAAGAUGCUUUUAGACCUCAAAUAAUGCAAAACGUUUGAGGGGGUGAAAAAUCAAUAUUUGGUUAGAAUAACCCUGGUUUUUAAUCGCAGUUUUCAUGCAUCUUGGCAUGUUCUCCUCCACCAGUCUUACACACUGCUUUUGGAUAACUUUAUGCCACUCCUGAUGCAAAAACUCAAGCAGUUCAGUUUGGUUUGAUGGUUUGUGAUCAUCCAUCGUCCUCUUUAUUUUAUUCCAGAAGUUUUCAAUUUGGUAAAAUCAAGGAAAAACAUUUUUAGGUGGUCUCUUAUUUUUAUCCAGAGUUGUUGUAAUUAUUUGUAUUGAGUUGUUGAGUAGUUAGCUUUGUGUACAGUAUCAGGUCUGUGUGUUUGGUGUGUGUUCAGCAGCCCGCCCCGCCGCUCUAAUGUCUGUUUGUGUGGAUCUGAGUGACUGGCUGUGUUCUGGCCGUCGCCCUUCCUCAGCCCCACAAAAACACGCUCAGAAGAAUUUCCGGUGCUCACGACUCUCCGGAGCAGCCCACUGAGCUCCCGAGCGAACCGCGGAGAUGACGAGGAGCCGUGAUCGGUAGACGCCUCCUCUGGGAGGGGGUAAACGGGAGGUAACAGAACAGGAUGAGCAGGUCCAGUCACGUCUAGAAUGUCAACACAUGACCUGACCGUGAAGUUGAACAGCAGCAGCAGCAGCGCGGGGAGCUCUCCUCCAGAACAGCAGCGCACAGAAGCAGCAGAGCCACAGAAACUCUCCGCGGGGAAUAAGAAUGAGCCAGCACUGACUGGAACUUCAGCCAACUCCCUUCAAACCAAUAAGAACCUGUAUAUCAGAAGAAAAAUACUUCUGAAUAGUAAAGGAGACUGGACCAGCCCAACAGGUGAUCUGAAGGAGGUUCCUGACCAGCUACGCUUCACCUCCUUCUUUUCACUGAGACUUCCCUCUAAAAGAAGUGAAAAGAAUAAAAAAUAUACUGAAACCAAGCUGAUCAGUAAUGACAUACACAGAAAACCUGAUGCUGUAAGGAGGCCAGCAAAUGUCCAAUACCCUGAGUUAAAGACCAACAGGGAUUCAGCUGGAAAAGAAAAAGAUGAGAAUUUCUCAAAACCACCCUUUCAAAAAGGGUGCACUACCAUUCCCCAGCAAAAACACUUUGGACAUGAUAUACCAUGCCACAGAUCAGAGGAGGGAACACAGCAUGGUGUAGCCCUGUGUGAUCCAGCACAAACUGCACAAAACUGCUCACAGGAACCGUUGCCAAGUUCUGAUCACCUGACACAGCAGCCAAUCGGUGAGAGUAAAACUGCAGCAAGGGAAUCAGGAGUUAACGACCCUUUCAGAGAGAAUGCGGAAGGAGCACUCUGUAACAGUAAUCUAAUCCUAUUUGGAGAGGCCAGCAGUUCAAAGGCCAGCACCAACUGCCAGCCUGCUGCAUGCUCUCCCAGAGCACUAAAGCGGGCCUUAUCACUGCCUUCUUUUCCCGCUCCUCAUCACAGCUGUAAAAGUGAGACUGAUCCAAGUCAUACUGGCCCCGCUGCAAAAAUGUUCACAUCUACCUUAGUGUCUGUACUUGCGCCUCACUGGAGUGGGCGCUUUAGGAGACCUAAGAGAGACGUCAGUGAGGUUGAACAAGAUGGCCAGGUGAGUGGACAGAAUAGCAACCAGUCUGUUUCCACACAGAAUUCACCUCAUCAGCCAUUUCUUCUUACCCAGAUGAGAGCAGGUGGUGAAACUGUUGAUAAAUUUAACGAUAAGCUCAGGGACUCUGCAGGAACCAGCAGGAGCACUGCUGAAUGGCAAAAAGACACUACCAGUUCUCAGCAUUUCACAGCCACCUUGCACACAAUAAGACCACGUUUGAAACCCACUCCUUUGGAUACAAGCCAGAAGACAGCAGAUGCUGAAGAUGUUGAACACAGAACAUCUGUUCAUUUGCCACUGGACUCAAAUCAGGUGACCAGGUCAGCUCUAUCCCUUCAAGUCAGGGGAUACAAAAGGAUAUCGCAGCCUGAGGAUCAGGCAGAAACCUUCUCCCCACCAACCUCCAGACCAACAACCAGCAGUCUGCUUCUCUCAUGGAGGAGGUUAAAAUCAAGGACAGAAAAUGAUGAGAGCACUGAAAUGGAGAAGCAGCUAACCACGUCUGUCAGGUCACUAACCCUGCCGAAUAAAAGCAAAUUAAGACUUUCUCAACCACACACCCCCCUGUUUUCCCCAGACUCCCCAACCAAAGAAAACGUUCAGCGCUAUACAUUUCCUGCAUCUUCUGAGCAAAUCCAAAGUCCAGAAACAUCUCCUGUUUCACCACAUGUCAGAGAGAUGAGGACAUCAAGGAGAUCAAUGUUUUUAAUCAAUAGAGAAUUUAACAUUUCCAGCAAAUCUACAUCUACAAUCAAUGAUACAAAUAAGGACAGGAUCUAUUCAAGCUCCACAACAGGAUCCAACCAAUCAGAGAGUCUGAAUGCUUCUCAGGAGCAUUCAAGGGAAAGUCUCGAAAGGAAAUGUUCUCAUUUAGGCAACAAUGAGUCAGUGCAGCACAGCAUUACUGACUACAAAAACUCCAAUAUUAAUAGCCUCCACAGAACUGCUACUGAUUUACCAAAAAAUACUCCCAAGGACAAUACAAACAAUAAUAUUGGAACCUCAAUUUCAAACAGAUAUCACAUUUCAGAUAACAUUGUUCAGAAUCACAUCAGUCAACCCACAGAAAGCACAUCACAAAGCACAAGCCCCCAAAUUAUCCAGAUAACCACAGUUAACCUCACAGCUGGGAUACCACCCGGGAACCUGACUCAAACUGGCCAAAACAGCAACCAGAACUCAACGAAUAAUAUAAGGAGUUUGUAUCCUGAGAACCUUUCACCCAGCCCAAUCGACCAAUUAAGUGGAAGAACAUUCACCGGCAGCCUUGUGUUCACACCCAGGAAAGAAAUUUCUGCCAUGGAAAGAACAAGCCCAUCCCAUGUAUGGCAGAACUAUUUGAACUUGAGACAAUCCCAGUCAAAUCAAAGCUCUUCAGAUCAGACAAAUCUGCUCUCUUCAGCUAGACCCCUCCGACAAGUUCGUGCUCCAAGUAUCUACUCAUACCUGAGAGAAACUAGCCCACCUUUGACCACACAGACAUCCACUGCCCUUAAUACCUCUCCUAGUCCUCUAAGCCCAUUUCUAAAACAAGAGGACCAAAUAAAGAAAGAGAAUCAAAAUGCAGGAAUCUCAAGGUUCACUUUUGAUUUGAGUCAAGUAGAAACAAAGGACGUUUCCUUCAGGUCACCGCAGUCUCUACCACCUGACAGUGGCAGGAGAUCAGAGCUUCAUCUCAGUAAAUCUCCCUACUCCACCCUCAUCUCUGCAAGACCAAGGCUCAACAGUGCUCUGCACAAUCCCACAUCUCCACCUGUCACACACCAGCACAGAAAAUCAGCGUCUUAUGAUAGUUCAGCCACGACUUCUUCCUCUCCUAAAGCUGAAGACAGCUCUUAUCUUCUUGUACAGAAAUACAACAGAAUUAAGGGGGUUUCUGAUAGUGCUUCUGAUAAGCGUUUUACAAUGGAACCGACUCUCAAACCUUGCAGCACAUCACAAAGCUCACCAGUUGCAAGGUUCACAGACUCUCAGACUACUAACUCAAUCCCAGACACAACAUUCCCCUCGCAGAGUGGCAUAAUCGAUAAGGACAUCUGUCAAACAGGACCGGAUGGCACAUUUUUAUCUCAGAGUGUCAAAGGAAGUACUUCUGCUGCUCAAGAGUUGUGUUCUUCUACAUUAAGUAUGCUCACAGUUAGUGAGACUGUACCUGCCAUUACAAAGGAUGAGGUAACACCGCUGCAGACACAUGAAACCUUGCAAGGAAUCCAGCGCAGCAACUCUAAAAGGAGCUUCUUCUCAAGAAGUAAGGAAGAAAAUAGUCAGACCUCAUCGGCCUUUGCAGACAAACAGGGUUUGACAAAUCAGGACGGUAAAAGUGGAGAGAUGACAGGACUAAAAAACAGCAACAAAAUGGACCAGGUUUUAAAUCGUUUAAGAAUGAAAUUCGGUGUCAAACGUUCAGAGGAUGAUGAUUUGACAGCUAGAAGAAAGACAAAGAAUCAGCAGUCUUCCGACUUGAAGGCUCCUGAAUGCAAAAAGAAUGAGGUUUGCCAUGAGAGUCAAACAUUAAAAUCACCAGUUUCUUCUCAAAUCACAAAUAGGAAAGAUUCUUCUGGUGCCUUGUCUGGUUUCACUUUUUCGAACGAGAAAUGUGAGAACUCGCCAAAUGUGGAUAAGCACAAAAGACUUGCAGAUGAAAAUGGAAACCAGUUCCUGGGUAGACCACAAAGCCCUAACUGGCCUAAGCCCCAUUAUAUUAAUCGCUAUGCCACCAUGCCACAAACCAGAAAAACCACUGCACCUGGUCCCUCUUCUACCUUUUAUCCAUCUGCGUUUUCUUCAAAAGACUCUCAGAGCGACGAUGUGUUUGAUAGCUGCUUUUCAACAAGAACAAAAAACUCUUUGGUUGGUAAAACUGAGAAUGUCUCAGGAAAUUCAGGAAAUGCUCAGAAUUCUCAGAGGCAGCGCUUAAUGGGAGCUCAUUUGUCUGCUUCUUGUGCCAAUCUAAAGUAUGGACUAGAGCGCGGCCGAUCUGUCUCAGUUAGUAGUAUAGUUUCAGGCCGUCCUUCGGGACCUGGUCGAAUCUCGACUGGAUCGAGGCAAGGCAGUGUGAGUGACUUCUCCAGCUUGGAUGAGUUUGCGCCAAGGAGCAGACAUUCAAGCAUCAGCAAUCCAGGUAAUUCACCUGAACAUGGUGUAACAGGUCCAAGCAGUCUCCCUGUCCACAGUACCUACAGGGGCUGUGUAGGACGGUUGCAGUCAAAUGACCGUCUGUGGAGCCCAGGUAACCUUGACUCUUCCUCAUGUGCAUGGGACGCAGAAGCCAAUCCAACGCCACCGCCUUCCCCACCGUUCUCCCCCACCUCACGGCGUAUUUCACAAGUCCCCAGCUCAUCUUCUACCAGCAGCAGGACCUCGCUGGACAGCUUGUCUCCUCGUGGAUUCCUGCCAUCCAGGAGCUAUAAGACUACACUGUCUGUCUUCGAAGAAUCCAGUUCAGAUUCAGAUACCACUACUGACGAUGAAUACUAUCUAAAUAAUGAUGGCGAUGAUGAGAAAGAAACAGAACUUUAGUAAUGGACUAAAUAACUGUGCGGUUGUGUUUUGUAGGCUGUUAUUUUGUAAGGAUUUGUGCCAUAUAUCCAGAUCAUAAAAUCUACAGUAAAGGUGUUAUAUUUUCAUUUCAGCAUGUAGGGAAGCACAGGGCACACCCACACCUUAAUUUGGGUUUGGGUUAAAGCUGGCUAGCAUUGUUCAGAAAAAUGACUGUAGAAAAGCAUGGACAGUGCAACAUCUCUCCAAAGUAAAGCCACCACAGGUCCAGCACCUCUGCUGGCUGGUUGCAAUAUGAUGUGUAGCUCCACCAAUCCUCCCAUCGAUCUUGGCUUUAUUUUUGUAGACAUUUCUGUAAAAGUGGAAUGGAAUCCAUGCUUUUCUACAGUCACUGACACAUUCAAACAAUUAAUCCAUUUUACACUGUCUCCUGUGUAAAUGUGUGCUAUGCUUGCCCCAUAUCUAAUCCUGCUAAAGCAUGCCAUAAACAUGUUUAACUGGCUUUUGUGGCGUAUUUGCAUACAUUUUUAGUUUGAAAUUGCAAUUGAUAAUCAAUAGUGCCAUAUUGAAAUUUCCAUGUGUUUCAAAGGUUGUUUUUUAAAAACAAAACAGUUUUAUUCAUUAUAUAAAUUAUGAGAAAAUUUCACUUCAAAGUCUUCCUUUAAAGUCUUCCUUUAAAAAGUAGAGUAAAUGGUGAAUAAUAUAAGCAAAAGCAAAAAUGUCUGUGAAACCACAAAAUAACGUACAGUAACAUACAGUACUUCUACCUGUAUGCUGAAACUGUUCUGAUGUGAUGUUUUUACACUGUAGCAUUCACCACUAAGUGCUGUCAUUUCAGUAAGGGACUGGUCUUCUAGCUGUGUCAUGUGCUCAACAUAUUCAUUUUACACAAAUAUAAUUUAUCAAUACAUUCAAAUUAAAUAUAUGUCCACGAUUCUUUUUAUUUUUUCUGAUUUCUUUGUUUGUUUGUUUUUUAACUGUUCCAAAAAAGUAUCAUUCAGUUCCUCAGUCUGUACUGUACACUACUUAUAUGGAAACCAACCUGUCAAACAGCCUGUUUUGAGCUAAUUGUUUAUGUAAAUACAGCAUAUCUGCCUGUUCUGCCUACAGCAGUUUAGCCCCAUCUAUUUAAGCUAACCUUACAGAGUAGGGCAAACUGCAAACUGUAAGAACAGAGAGCAUUUACAUAUCAAUGCUGUCGGACUGAAACCUUGCAUUUCCAUUUUUUUACUUUUUGGCACAGUUUGGAUUUGGUUAAUUGCAAUGGGUAAUAAUUAAUUAGUAAGUGGAUUGAUAGAAAUGCAACAAAAUAUCUUGUUUACACUGAUUUCCACUGAAAGAUUUUGACAGGAUAUGAUCCUUAACGAAAAGUAACAAAAAAAUAAAAUAAAAGGCAAGGCAUAUAAAAGAGGUUGG